rnacentral:rRNA from 1 species
AUACGGAGGAUCCGAGCGUUAUCCGGAUUUAUUGGGUUUAAAGGGUGCGCAGGCGGGAGAUUAAGUCGGCGGUGAAAUUUUGCAGCUCAACUGUAAAAGUGCCUUCGAUACUGGUUUCCUUGAGUGGGGAUGAAGUAGGCGGAAUUUGUGGUGUAGCGGUGAAAUGCUUAGAUAUCACGAGGAACUCCGAUUGCGCAGGCAGCUUACUAAACCACUACUGACGCUCAGGCACGAAGGCGUGGGGAUCAAACAGGAUUAGAUACCCUGGUAGUCCACGCAGUAAACGAUGAUUACUGGCUGUUUGCGAUACAAUGUAAGCGGCUGAGCGAAAGCGUUAAGUAAUCCACCUGGGGAGUACGUUCGCAAGAAUGAAACUCAAAGGAAUUGACGGGG